rnacentral:rRNA from 1 species
UACGGAGGGUGCGAGCGUUAAUCGGAAUUACUGGGCGUAAAGCGCGCGUAGGCGGUUCGAUAAGUCAGAUGUGAAAUCCCCGGGCUCAACCUGGGAAUGGCAUUUGAUACUGUCAGACUGGAGUGUGGUAGAGGGAAGUGGAAUUCCACAUGUAGCGGUGAAAUGCGUAGAUAUGCGGAGGAACACCAGUGGCGAAGGCGACUUUCUGGACCCUUACUGACGCUGAGGAACGAAAGCGUGGGGAGCAAACAGG